ACCCCUUCAAGUUUUCUUUAGAAAACAACUAAAUUAUCACCAAUUAAAAAAUUUUAGAUGUCUCAGCUAUCCUUAUAUUCAUCCAUAUAAUAAAUGUAAACUCCUAACAUACACAUUUCAAAAAUCGCCAAUAUCUCUCGAUAUGUCAACUAUAUCAAAUGGUCAACGCGGGUCAAUAGGUGGUCAAAUGCGCUACAGUACCCCUUAAAAAUGCCUUGCAAUUUUAUUGUUAAGGGGACUCGAACCCCAAACAAAAGACUUAACUUUUAGCUCAACUUACCACUAGGACAAGUUUGCCCCUUGUUAAAUAUAUUGCACCAAACAUAUAUAUUCAAAGUCAUCAUAUAAAAAAAUUAUUAAAAGAAUAUUUUAGAGAACAAAUUAAUUAUAAUUAUUUUAUAAUUAAAUGCAAAAAAAUAUUUUAAUUGAUUACCAAAAAUAUAAAAAUUAUCAUGAUAAUUUUCUUCAUAGUGUUUUUAAUAUCAUUAAUAGAUUAAUUAAAUAUUAAAAAAUUGUACAUAUAUCACAAUUUAUUUUAUAUCAUUUAAUACAAUUGAAUUAAAUGGAUCAUAAUUUUAAUAUUAAAUUUAUUUUAAAAUUAAACAUAUUAUAAUCAAAUAUCACAAUAUUAUUAUGAAAUAAUAUUUAAUGUAAUUUAAUAAUAAAUGUACACUUAUAAAAUUCAUAUUUUUUAUUGAUGCAUACGAUAUUAUAAUCAAAUAUAAUGAAUCAUAUUAUACAUAUAUCAAAUUCUUUAAUAAAACAACUUUAAAAUAUCUAUUAUACUUCUAAUUACAUUUUUAUGAGGUUUUUCUUAUAUAUAUAUAUAUAUAUAUAUAUAUUAGGUUGUUUUUAUGGUUAGUUUGACCCAAGGUUUUUUACAUCUACCAAAUUUCUAAGAGACUUUAUAAGUGGUCUUCGCACAUAUAAUUGCUUGUUGUUGAUUGCUUUCUGUUAUCUCUUGUUGAUUCAAGAGAUAAAAAUUAAAAAUUGGGAAACUAAUUGCUUGAUUACCUAUUCCCCCUCCCUCAAGUAGUUUCGUAAUCAAGAUCAGACUUAUUUAAGUAUAAUAUAUAAACUAGCAUACAACUCUAUGCCUAAAAGUCAUUUAAUUGAAUUACCAUUGAUGCACUUGAUAUAAAUGUUACUAAUAGAACCCUCUAGGAAGACAAAUAAAGGUCAUUAAUUAGUGUAUAUAUAUAUAUAUAUAUAUAUAUAUAUAUAUAUAUAUAAUGUUAUAACCUUGGUUCCAUCUUAAGUUUGGAUCCAAUCUAUGCUUUCAAAUGUGUUAUCAAAAGCAAGUAAUUUGAUGUGAGUUGUUUUGAAGCUCUGAAUGGGCCUCAUCAUUUUCUAGUGAGUACAUUCCUACUUUCUUUUCGGCCCUCAUUGCAUGCCCUUGGACUUUCCUUUCUUUCUUAUCCAUAAGCCCAUUCAGUAAUUGGAUUUCUUGCCCAAGUGCAUUUUCAAAGGAUGCUUUGUGUUUACAUUAUUACGGAGUAUGACAAAUUUAGGUUAGUGUAAACCAUGCUUGGAAGAGUUUUGCAAAAGCAAGUUUGAAGCUCAAAUAUAAUUUAUUUAUUUAUUUAUUUUAAGGAUGUUUGAGAGAAUUUUCAAAUAUAAUUAUCAUAUUUCUUAACAUGAUUAAUAUGUGUUUUGGAAAAAUAGAGAGACAUGAGCAUUUGAGGAUAUAAAAGCAUAUAUUAUACUAGAUUAAUUUUUUAUACAAAUAUUAAUUAUAUCUUUGUUUUCUUAAUAAAAGUUUUUGUUAAAUAUGGUUUUCAAACAUAAAAAUCAAAGCUAUUGCAAAUAAAACUUAUAUAAAUAUAUUUCAAGUUUGGCACUCUCAAAGUAGAGUCCUAAGAAAUGGUGAGUUGGGUAAGGUCCUUUAUUGUCAUAAAAUUGUCUCCCUCAUGACUUGAACUUUGGCAGCUAAAGACAUUUACCAAAAUAUGACAAAAUUAAAUCUGAGGAACAAACUUGGAUCAACUCGAUCCCAUCCAAAUUUUUACCAAUUUUGGGGGGAAAAAAGUACCACAUUAGUGCCCUUAAUUUCAUUACAAUUUUGAACAAAGUAUGCUUUUUUAAUAUGUGCUUUUGAUGAUGAAAAGUGAAAAUAUAAAUACCUAAAUUUAAAGAUUAUAAAACCACUAGAUAUGACAAGUCUAAAAAUUCUAGGGAAUGUUUCAUUUAUAAAUUAUCUCUUCUUCUAGAUGUUCUUUUCUUCUUCUCCUACUGUUUUUGGCUAUCUUCUUUUAUGUGCUCUGGAAUAAGAUUACUCAAGUGUCCAUGGCCAGAAUGGAAGCUGUUACACCUCCACAUCAGCAAAGCUAGCUAUAUGACUUGCACGUACAUGAUCAUAUAUACAGUUCUCCCUAUUGAUCAUGUACUUGGCUACUUGUUCAUCUCACCCUCUUUGAGGUGUUGGCGAGAGCUAUUGGCCUCAGAUGAGGAGGUACUAUCCUUUCCAUACACAAAAAAUGGAAAAGAAGAAGACAAUGGAAACUGUGAGAAGAUAAGGAACAAAGCUACCUUAGAAAAUAUCUUGUUAGGUAUAUAGCUGAAAAAUACUAAUUUUUGAAACCCCUUGUAUCUCUCCGUGAGUUAGUUGUUACCAUUUGUGCAGUAUUCUCAACAUUACUGGCCUAACAAUUCAACCAUUAUUUCACCCAUUCAGUAAAUAUUCAUACUCCAGAAUCAUGCAAAGACUAUUUGUGAUGUUGCGGAUUUGACAUCUGCCCGAUUUAAUUUAACACAUACCUGAAGGUUUGCUCCCUCCAUACUUGGUGCCAAACUUGAGCACUUUAUUGCUUACAUACCACACAUGGCAAACAUCUAACCGUAGGAUGAUGAGUCUGAAAUUCUUGAAGCAAAGGAAAAAAGAAAGAAAAGAGAGUUACAGAGGAGUUUUAGUAUUACAUUGGUUGGAUCUUCAUCAGAAAUGUUUGCAGACCAAAAAAGCUAGAUGUUGUCACUGCUGAAUGAUACUUUGUAUAGGGAAGUUUGCCCAAGCACAUCAGUUUGAUGUUCCUAUUAUGCUUCUACAGUACCAACAAGAAAAAUGUUUUAGGGUUUAAUAGAGUCUGAGGGUUUUUUCCUUUUUAGCAAAAGAAAAGAGGAUUAGGAAUCAAGCAAUUCUGAUUAAAAUAGAUGAAAAAAGGCUUUGAUACUUAAUUAAGAGUUGUUUAACUCUGGACCUCUUCUUCUGUGCUUCCUUUUUUGGUUCCUUAAUUAACAAUAAAUUAUACUUACCAACCAAAAGAUGGAUAUGAUAUCAGACCUUAUGAUAUCAGUGGUUAGCUUAAGCUUUAAUCACCUUUUAAGUACAUGGUUAAAGAACUCCUCCAUUAUAACAACCAACAUGAUUAGAUAUGUGGGCCUCUAGCCUUUGAUAAAAUACAAAGUGAUCUUUCCAUACAGAUUAGACUGCAUUGUUUUUGACUUAUGCUACGGAAUUUUUGCUAAAGUGAAAUUAACGCCAAGGAUCAGCACAUACCUAUAAGUUGAUGCUGUACAAUCCAAGAACAGGUCAUUGAUGAGCAUCACUAGAUACACUUUCUCAGUUCAUGUCAAAACUAAUUUCCACCAUUUUUGUUAAUUUCAAGAGCCCCAUCAGUCGAUAUGAGCCACAGGAAAGUACAUCUUGAUAAAAUCAUGUCUUAUGCUAAGUUAAUUAUUAGGGCAAUUAAGCUCAAAUACUGAAACUAGGAAUAGAUUCAAACAGUGCAAAAAAUUACAAUUUUCAAAAGACACAUAUAUAAGGCUAAUUAAUUGAUCAAACAAGGAGUAAUUAAACAAAAGAAGAUUCUAAUCUUUUAGGGUUUUGGGUGCUUGCUAUGCAGAUACUAUUGUAUCACUUGGUUGAAAUGGUGCAACUUCAUAAACCUGAAGAUGGUAAAGUUUUUUAUCUGGUGUUGUCCAUUUAGAUUCCUUCUCUCUUUGGUUAACGUUUCUUUCCAUUUAGAAGUAAAAACUCAUGCUCCAAAGAUGGUAUAAAGCCUCAUGACUCAAGCAAUAUCCUACUCAAUUGAACAGAGAAAUAAUACUAGCUAACCAUAGUAAUAACAUGGCAUAUGAGAGUAGAAAAAAAGGAGUCUUGUCUCUUCAAAACAACGCAACAGUACACUCAUAUUUUUUUCCAUCAAUAUAUAUGGUUAUCAAAGAGGAAGUUCAGUCGAGUGCAUCAUCAACCAUGAAAGAAAAUAACACAACAAUCUCAAAACCCAACAAAGGAAAAGCAGGAGACAAUUCAUUACAGGAAACACCAGAUGUAGAUAUGAAAUGAUUAUUAAAAUUCUAUUUCCCAUUUGAGGUAGGGGAAGAACACUCGCACACUAACUCGGUUUCCACUUCCCGGAGGUGGAAGUUCCGGUGGCAGCCGCAGGCGGCGCAGGUGAGUGCACUGCUGGUUCCCUCUUCACCGCUCGCCAUGAACUCUCUGCACCCAUCAACAGCAUACCCUCCAACACCCGCAGCGUGAUUCUUCUGACACUCUCCAUACCUCACACUCCUCACUGUGAAAGAUGAAUUAGCUGAGCUUCUUGAUGGCUCAUCUCUCCUAAGCACAACUUGACGCUUCCUCAUCCUACAAGACCCCAAAUCUACUCUACCUUCUUCUCCACACCCACCAAGAAAACAGCUGCAAUUCUCCAAUUCUUCCAGAGAUCCAGAAUCAGAAGCUGGCAUAGAAGAGAAAGAAAGAAAUAGAGAGAGGAAGAUGGGGGAAGAGGGGAAGUGGCAAACUAGCUCUGAGUUUGUUCCUGCCAACCCUAACCCUAGAAUGCUUAUUUAUAGCCUGUAACCCUCUUAUUAGGGAGUUAAUCUUUAUUGCAAAUAAGAAAAAACCCAUUACCAACUUUUACUUUGUGUCAUUUUCUGUAUUUUACUCUCCAAAAACCCUAGAAUGGUCGUUGUGAAUUGAUUGUCCAACUGCCCAAUAUCUCAUCAUCACUGAAUAAAAACGAUUCCCGCGCAAAUAAGGCAAACCCUAAAAUGAUGAGAAAACCUUUCGUUUGGCCCAUUACAGUGACUACUUUGUAAUAGAAUGACCAGCUAAGCUUCCUUUUUAAUCUAAAGCUCCAUGCUCUUACAUUUUU
rnacentral:lncRNA from 1 species